rnacentral:rRNA from 1 species
UACGUAGGUGGCAAGCGUUGUCCGGAUUUAUUGGGUUUAAAGGGUGCGUAGGCGGUCUUUUAAGUCAGUGCUGAAAUACUCCAGCUUAACUGGAGGGGUGGCAUUGAUACUGGGAGACUUGAGUGUAGUCGAGGUAGGCGGAAUUGACGGUGUAGCGGUGAAAUGCUUAGAUAUCGGGAGGAACAUCAGUGGCGAAGGCGGCCCUCUGGUCCAGUACUGACACUCAAGUGCGAAAGCGUGGGGAGCAAACAGG